rnacentral:rRNA from 1 species
UUUAGCAAGAAAACUACAAGCAAAGAGCCCUUUAGUUUGUAACCCCGAAACUGAGCGAGCUACUCCAAGACAGCCUGUAAAGGGCAAACCCGUCUCUGUGGCAAAAGAGUGGGAAGAGCUUUGAGUAGAGGUGAUAAACCUACCGAGCCCAGUUAUAGCUGGUUGCCUGUGAAAUGAAUAGGAGUUCAGCCCUUUAAGUCUUUCCCCCCUCACCCAUGCUUAUGCUAAAAUUGAUUAAGGAAACUAAAGGAGUUAAUCAAAAGGGGUACAGCCCUUUUGAUAGAAGAAACAACUUUUACAGGUGACCCAAGAUCAUAUUACUCAAGGAUUUCAAAUUAAGUGGGCCUAAAAGCAGCCAUCUUAUCAGAAAGCGUUAAAGCUCAAAUUAGCCUACAUCCUCAUAUACUGAUAUUAUAUCUCCCUCCCUGCCCCUUACCAGGCUGUCUUAUGCCCCCAUAAGAACAAUUAUGCUAAA